rnacentral:rRNA from 1 species
AUUGAACGCUGGCGGCAUGCUUUACACAUGCAAGUCGAACGGCAGCGCGGGGGCAACCCUGGCGGCGAGUGGCGAACGGGUGAGUAAUGCAUCGGAACGUAUCCUGUAAUGGGGGAUAACGUAGCGAAAGUUACGCUAAUACCGCAUACGCUCGAGAGAGGAAAGUGGGGGAUCGCAAGACCUCACGUUAUAGGAGCGGCCGAUGUCCGAUUAGCUAGUUGGUGGGGUAAAGGCCUACCAAGGCGACGAUCGGUAGCUGGUCUGAGAGGAUGAUCAGCCACACUGGGACUGAGACACGGCCCAGACUCCUACGGGAGGCAGCAGUGGGGAAUUUUGGACAAUGGGUGAAAGCCUGAUCCAGCCAUGCCGCGUGC